rnacentral:lncRNA from 1 species
AGAGUCGUCCGCGGGGUGGGGGCUACCAAUCUCCUCACCCCGGUCUGCGAAGCCAGACCCAGGUCCCCUGACGGUUGCCUUGCAUGGAUUCCUCUGAAAAAACAGAUAUUUCCAGUCCCAACUUCUCUCUCAAUGCCAGUCUGACAUUUCCAAUCAAUUGUGAAAUGCCCACCUGGGUGAUUUCAGAUGUGCCAAACCGGACAUUUCUGAAAAUCAAAAACUCGUCUUCUCCCUGUAAGUAGACCUAUCCUCACACUGCCAUGCCAGAGGGCAGCCCGCGCCCUGACUCCCCUGCAGACUGCAGAAAAAGGACUUGCUAAGUCCCAAGAACACAGGGCAGAGAAGUCAAAGCCUGAUCCAAGGCAGAGGGUUGCAAUUAGCCCCACAAAGUGCAUUAGGAACAUCAAGGGGGGGCCGGUGGAGACAGACAGAGGCGUCUGACAGAGGAGAAAGUUGAUAAGGGAGGUGCAUCUGGACACUUACUACUGUAACUUCUGCUAACAGUGUGGCGACUCCCUCAGGUAACACAUGUCGUGGUAAGCCUAUGGACUUGUGACCAUGUGCUGAGCACUAUUCGAAGCGCUUAACUACGUAUUAACUCACUUAAUUCCUACAACCCCACAAGGUGGGUGGGUAAACCAAGGCACGGGAAGCUGCUCACUAGCCUGUGGUCAAACAGUUAACGGUGGCAGAGUUGGGUUUGAACCCAGGUGGCCUGGCCCAGCAUUUUUGUUCUUGACCAUUAGCUGUUCUGCUUCUCCGUCACCUUCUCAGAUCCUUUCAACAAGUCCUAUUGUUGUUACAGAAACUUCCUAUGUUCUGAAGUUGAAAAUAAUUUUGAAUCACGAUUCUCUCAGUUAUUAACUAUAAUGCCCUUUUUUGUGUUAUCAGGAGGUUAGAUAAAUAUGCCUCCUAUGUCUCCGUGGCACUUGCACAAAAGCAUCUGGGAUAAUCAGGACUCUGUGGCCACAGUCACCUGCUGAACUGCUGGACAGCCCCGCAGAGCUCUGCUGGUGCCCUUCCUCUCCCUCGGGUGCCCGUGAGUUCCCUCAGCCCCUCCCGUCGCCCUCACGCUUACGUGGCCGGAUCCUCCUUGAAAAUCCAAUAUUUGGAACAGUUGAAGCCUACUUGGUCACGUAGAACAGAAGAGGAACCGUUCUUUUUUUUUUUUUUUAAUUUUUCAACGUUUAUUUAUUUUUGGGACAGAGAGAGACAGAGCAUGAACGGGGGAGGGGCAGAGAGAGAGGGAGACACAGAAUCGGAAACAGGCUCCAGGCUCUGAGCCAUCAGCCCAGAGCCCGACAUGGGGCUCGAACUCACGGACCGCGAGAUCGUGACCUGGCUGAAGUCGGACGCUUAACCGACUGCACCACCCAGGCGCCCCGAGGAACCGUUCUUUGAAAGAAACCCAAAACAGGACUCUUGACAAAGAGCAAAUACAUUAACAUGUGUGUCAGAAAAGAAAUGUGAGGUAAUUUUGUAAAUCUUAUCAGUAAAAAACUGACAGGCCUUUCAUAUUUUUACUGUUCUCUCAUGAAUUUGGAAUCAUAUUUGCCAAAAAAACAAUAAUCACUUGCCAUGGUGAAGAGUCCAAGGCCUCAAAUCCCCACCCCAGCUCUGCCCUAUACAAGCUGCAUGUGCUGUGGUGGGUGAGUCAGCUCCACGGAGCCCUGGCCCCUGUUUGCCAAGUGGAGAAAUCAUGUCCACCCCCAAAGGAUUGUUUAUGGUGAUUAGUUAAGGUAUGUGCACAAAAGCAUAAGGCAUA